GUUAGCUCAGUUGGUUAGAGCGUGGUGCUGAUAACGCCAAGGUCAUGGGUUCGACCCCCAUA
rnacentral:tRNA from 1 species